GACAGGUGGUGCAUGGUUGUCGUCAGCUCGUGUCGUGAGAUGUUGGGUUAAGUCCCGCAACGAGCGCAACCCCUAUUGUUAGUUGCCAUCAUUCAGUUGGGCACUCUAGCGAGACUGCCGGUAAUAAACCGGAGGAAGGUGGGAUGACGUCAAAUCAUCAUGCCCCUUAUGACCUGGGCUACACACGUGCUACAAUGGUUGGUACAACGAGUUGCGAGUCGGUGACGGCGAGCUAAUACUCUUAAAGCCAAUCUCAGUUCGGAUUGUAGGCUGCAACUCGCCUACAUGAAGUCGGAAUCGCUAGUAAUCGCGGAUCAGCAUGUCGCGGUGAAUACGUUCCCGGGUCUU
rnacentral:rRNA from 1 species